UCCAUCAUCCUCAGUGUGCAAUGUGAGUGUCCCUGAAGUGGGCAGGGAGAGAGGGUCUCUGCCCAGGGACCCCCAUCAGCCACCUGGCAGGUGGUCUAAUAGGACAUUUCACAAACACUUAAGCACUUUGCAAGUAUUAUCUCACUUUAAUCCUCACAAUAAUCCUAUGAGGUAAUAUCCCCAUAUUACAAAUGAGAAAACAGGCACAGAGAAGUUAAUCUGGCAGAGGUUAUACAGCUGGUGGGUAGCAGAGCCAAUAUUCGGAUCUGGACAUUUUGGCUCUAGUGUUUAUACUCUUGAUCACUACAAAAUGCUAUGCAUAAGGUGGACCCAGCCAUCCAAAUAGGUCCUUUCUGGGUUUGGGAAGAAAGGGCAAGGAGUGUGAGGGACUGUGGUGAGAGCAUAUUGGAAGAACAUGCAAAGGGCAUGUGCAAAGCCUCUGCUUUGCACCAGUUAAGCUGGAAAUUUCCAAGGUCAGGGCCAAGUACCAGGAAGGUCAGGGCCAGGGCCUCCUGGUUGUCCUUUUUGCCCUCGUGUGUGCCAACCCACCUGCCAGUGUGACCUAGAUGGACCAGGAUGGGCCAGUGACUGUCAACACCUCCGAAUUCCUGGUACUGGAUGCCGAGAACUACCCCUGGCUCACCAACCACACCGUGUAGCUGCAGCUCCGCAGCCUGGCACACAACCUGUCUGUGGUAGCUACCAAUGACAUGGGUAUCACCAGUGCCUCACUUACGACUCCAGGUUUGAGCACAGCUAGUAAGUGGCCCAGCAAAGCCUCCAGUGGAUGGGGAAUCACAGUACAGAAAUGGGAGGAUUUGUUGCCCUUGCGAAUGAGCUGUCCCAGCCACCUUGAGCAGGGAGGACAGAGUAGUGCAAACUGAGUAUUUCAUCUCAGAGCUGGGGUCCCUGCCCACUUGGAAUCUAACCAAAGGAUGACCUGCAGGACUCCUGACCACCUGGAUGGAAGUGCCACUGCUGGGCAUUGUUGUGGCUGGAAGGCUUGCCCUGGGCACCCUGGUAGCGUUCAGCACCUUGGUGGCCUACCUGGUCUUCAGGAAUGAGAAGAAGACCAAAGGUAACUCUUUCUGGGGUUGAGUGGAUGGGCUGAAUGGAGAUGCAGCACGGGAACAGGUGGGAAUCUGCAGUUGCUCUAGAAUAGGCCCGAAAACAGAAACCUGCCUGCUGGAGCCAGGGUGUGUCCCAGGUUUUGUCCGCCCCGUAGUGACUCCAACAACCUGAAACUCAACAGCGUGCACCUGCCACAGGAGAACAUGGCCCUCCUGUCCAACCUUCAGCUCAACGACCUCACUCCAGAUUCCCAAGGUACUUCCAGGACCCUCUGUUUGCCCCUGCAUUGUCUUCAAAGGUGCCUUUGAUAAAAAGAGACACCUUGCCUCAUCAGGCACACUCCUUGUCCUGGGCACCACCCCUUUGUCACCCAACAGAGAAACCAGCAGACCAGCAGAUGGCUCAGAACAACAGCUGGCCAGAACUUUUGGACCCAGAGCCUGGCGGCCUCCUCACUAGCCAAGGUACUCUCCUCCUCUGCUCCCUAGUCCUGGUGCUUGUGCCUCUGAGUCCCCAGGGGCAAAGUGGUCUCUCAACUUCCAAGAAUGAGGGUUACUGAGACUCCUGGGCAUCUCUGACCUUGCAGGUUUCACCUGCCCCCUAGUACUGGGCUACAGCUAACGAGUAUCCAGUGUGAGCAAUGAGGAGAUCUGGCUCUGAGCUGAGGGCGAGACAGAGGAUGCCAUGGCCCCUGGGCACCCUCCCACUCGAAGGCUUCCUCUGCCUGGCCAUGUUGCCAGUGAGGAGAGGCCAUGCCACUGCCACUUUUGCUUGCCUCCUGGCUGGGGUGCCCUUUCUGUCAUCCACAUGAUGGUUUCAUUGGGAUCUGACCCUUGUCCUUGGCAAGGCUGCCAGCUGGAUCUAAGCCCUUGUUCUAACUCAGGUUGGGGCCUGUAUGUAAUGCCCAUGUCCAGGCAGAGAGAGCUCUUUGCCCAGUGUGUUCAGAGUUCAUCUGGCAUCUAAGUGUGUCGCAGCCCUGUUGGCUUGGGCCUGCUUUGUGUUCCAUGCCAGUACUCCACAGCGUGUGGCACAGUAGGCCUGGGGGCAUGCCUGGUAUGGGGCCAAGGCAGUCCAUGCACAGCUUGGAUUUCCUUCCCGUGCUGUGCAGCUUCAUUCCCUCAGGGAAAAUUUAGGACCCUGCUAGCUGUGUAGAAACCUUUGCACAGAAACCAACCCCUGGCCAAGGGGCAUUAGCCAAGCACAAAGUAUUCCCUGUGCUGCAUAUCUCUGCCCUUUCUCUACUGCCUCUGACCCCGCCUUCUCUUGGGCAUCGUUAUAUGUUGGACCUUCGCUACUUCUUCACUGGGCACCAGACUUCCCCUUUGGCCUGGCCUCUGGUGGUGCUAGUGCCUGGUGUUAGCAAAGAUCAGGAGGAAAGAGAGAGGUGAGAAGUCUGGUGGUAUCCAGGAGCGCAUGUAGCUGUGCUUCAUUUUCUUAGUGUUAAUGCUUUGAGCACAUCCUCUAAGGCCUUCUCUGUGGCUUCCCCAAGUCUGGCCUUCCUGGGAUUAACUGAGUGACCUGAGCCCUCCAGGGUGAUGGGUUCCUCUUCAGCAUGUCUCCCCUGCCAUGGCACCCUAGCCCUGGCCAACCCUUGACUGCAUCAUCAACAGGAAGCCACUUUUCCUGUCCCAUGCUCUGUUCCUCAGGGGAUGGUCAUAUUGGCACAUAAUUCAACAGUGCCAGAAGCUUUAGCGGGCAUGGGGAAAGGGGAAGACCACAUACCCCCAAAGACCUAAGAACACUUAACAAAGCAACAUGAAAAUGACUGCAAAUUAGUAAGAGUGUGGAGUAUAUUUUUCUCUUGUUAUCUUGUUUUGUGAUUUUUCUCAUAUUACUGCCUAGGGCGGUGCUGAGCACACAGUAAGUUCAAUAAACUUGACUGAGUGAAUGUUA